GAUGAACGCUGGCGGCGUGCCUAAUACAUGCAAGUCGAGCGAACAGACGAGGAGCUUGCUCCUCUGACGUUAACGGCGGAAGGGUGAGUAGCACGUGGAUAACCUACCUAUAAGACUGGGAUAACUUCGGGAAACCGGUGCUAAUACCGGAUAAUAUAUUGAACCGCAUGGUUCGAUAGUGAAAGACGGUUUUGCUGUCACUGCUAGAUGGAUCCGCGGCGUAUUAGCUAGUUGGUAAGGUAACGGCUUACCAAGGCAACGAUGCGUAGCCGACCGGAGAGGGUGAUCGGCCACACUGGAACUGAGACACGGUACAGACUCCGAGGGGAGGCAGAAGUAGGGAAGCGUCGGAAAAGGGCGAAAGCUUGCAGGAGCAGCGCCGCGUGGGUGAUGAAGGUCUGCGGAUCGUAAAACGCUGUUAGUAGGGAAGAACACAUUUGUAAGUAACUAUGCACGUCUUGACGGUACCUAAUCAGAAAGCAACGGCUAACUACGUG
rnacentral:rRNA from 1 species